GUGUGACAAUCCGACUGGAUAUGCUACGUUAGCACUUCGCACUUUCAAGAACGUGGACAAUCUUCAAGGAAAGAAAGUUUCAGAAAGAGACUGAAAUUAUGAUUAUUAUUAUUUUUGUUUUUUGGGUCUAUAAAAUGAAUUUAAUUAAAUUCUGAGGGGUUGAAUCGGACUCGGGGCAGCCUGUGAAACCAAAACCCAUCCAUCCCAUUUCUCUCUCUCUCUCUCUCUCUCUCUCUCCUCUGGCAGAUAGAAGAAGAAGCGAGAAAAAAAAAAAAAAAAACUUAGAUAAGUUGCGGCGACCGCUUCGAGGGAUUGAAUAACCGGCCCAUUUAGUACUAAAUCAAUCGGAUUCUAAAAUUUCUCGAUCAAUCGGAUUGUGAAUUCUUUCUCAUUUCGAAGAAGAUGAUGAACAAGAGGGCUCGUACCACCAUCGGAAAAGCCGUCGUCGAUGUUUGGAAGAGGGAAGUCGGCGAACUCUCCACCAGGAAUUUCGCUCACCGCCUCGGUGCCUCCCAGGUUGACAUUAGGAUUGGUGCAGAUCUCCCAUGUCUCUCAUAUUUCAGUUUUCAAGCCUCAAAUGAAAAUUAUAAGAUGUGCUUUUGUCAGAAUGAGCAUGAAAGCAAACAAAAAAGCAGCUCAUCCAAAUGCCUAGUGAACAAUCACCUGCCUCUUCUUUCAAACAUUAACAGUCCUUCAAUGACCAACAUAGUGAUUCACCCAAAUGCCAUAAUGUCAGGCAAUGCAAAAGAAGUUGUGUUUGGAUUCAUGACCAUUCCACGAUGGUAUCUUUGUCACAUUCCAUUUUCCAAGAAUGCAUCUAUGGCAUUUUGUCGUUUUGCCUCGACUUUGAAAGUUAGAAAUUUGACUCGAGAGACAGACCUGGACUCGUAUUCAUUGAACAAGAGGAUAUCCCGCUUGAUACGAACUGGACAAAUUAAUGAAGCAAGAGAAUUGUUUGAUAAAAUGAAGCAACGUAAUGUUGUAACAUGGAACUCAAUGAUAACUGGGUAUGUUAAGCGAAGAGAGAUAGUGCAAGCACGUAAGCUGUUUGAUAAGAUGCCUGAAAAAGAUACUGUGUCAUGGAAUUUGAUGAUAUCAGGCUAUAUAUCAUGUCAGGGAAGUAGAGGUAUUGAGGAAGGGAGAGAUUUGUUUGAUCAAAUGCCUGAGAAGGAUUGCGUUUCUUGGAACACAAUGAUCAGUGGGUAUGCCAAGAAUAGGAGAAUGGCUCAGGCAUUGCAACUUUUUAAUAGCAUGCCCAAGCGAAAUGUUGUCUCUUGGAAUGCAAUGAUUAGUGGGUUUUUGCAGAAUGCUGAUGUGUUGCAUGCUAUUGAGUUUUUUGGGCUAAUGCCAGAGCGUGAUGAAGCUUCCCUCAAUGCCCUGGUUUCGGGUCUUAUUCAUAAUGGUGAGUUGGAUGAAGCUGCAAGAAUUCUGCUUGAAUAUGGAAGUAUGGGUAAUAAACAAGAAGAUUUGGUGCAUGCUUAUAAUACAUUGAUUGUUGGUUAUGGUCAGAGCAAUAUGAUUCAAGAAGCACGGCGCUUGUUUGAUCAAAUUCCUUCUUAUCAUGAUAAAAUAGAAAAUGGUCAAAGGAGGUUUGAGAGAAAUGUGGUAACAUGGAAUUCAAUGAUUAUGUGCUAUGUGAAAGCAGGAGAUAUUGUCUCUGCCAGAGAUCUUUUUGACCAAAUGACAGAGCGGGAUACCUUUUCUUGGAAUACCAUGAUCAGUGGUUAUGUUCAUUUGCCAGAUAUGGAAGAGGCUUCUAACCUCUUUAGUAAAAUGCCAGAACCUGAUACUCUGUCAUGGAAUUCAAUGAUCUCAGGGUUUGCGCAGAUUGGUAAUUUAGAACUUGCUCAUGCUUUCUUUGAGAGGAUGCCUCAAAAGAACUUGGUCUCUUGGAAUUCCAUGAUAGCUGGGUAUGAAAAAAAUGAGGACUAUAAAGGAGCAGUUAAGCUCUUCACUCAAAUGAAACUUGAAGGAGAAAAACAUGAUCGGCACACUCUAUCUUCAAUUCUCAGUGUGUGUACUGGGUUGGUGGAUCUGCAUCUUGGUAUGCAGAUUCAUCAGCUGUCCACAAAGACUGUUAUUGCGGAUGUUCCGAUAAACAACUCCCUUAUAACCAUGUAUUCAAGAUGUGGGGCAAUAAAAGAGGCCCAAACAAUAUUUGAUGAGAUGGAACUGCAGAAGGAUGUGAUUACCUGGAAUGCAAUUAUUGGAGGCUAUGCAUCUCAUGGUUCUGCUGUAGAGGCGCUAGAACUUUUUGAAUUGAUGAAAAAGUUUAAGGUGAAACCUACUUAUAUAACAUUCAUUGCAGUGUUGAAUGCAUGUGCUCAUGCAGGAUUAGUUGAAGAAGGCAAAAGGCAAUUUAAAUCUAUGGUUAAUGAUUAUGGAAUUGAGCCUCGUGUUGAACAUUAUGCCUCUCUUGUGGACAUCAUUGGUCGUCAUGGACAGCUUCAAGAGGCCAUGGACUUGAUAAAUAAGAUGCCGUUUGAUCCUGAUAAGGCUGUAUGGGGAGCAUUACUAGGAGCUUGUAGAGUGCAUAACAAUGUGGAAUUGGCCCAUGUUGCAGCUGAAGCUUUGAUGAGACUUGAACCUGAAAGCUCAGCUCCAUACGUGUUGUUAUAUAAUAUGUAUGCUGAUGUGGGUCAAUGGGAUGAUGCAGCAAAGGUGAGAUUGGUGAUGGAGGAAAACAAUAUCAGAAAGCAACCAGGAUAUAGUAGAGUAGAUUCUUCCCAGAGCAGAUGAGAAUUCUAUGCUGUGGAUGAUUCAGUGUAGUUGGUUUUCUGUAUUUCCUCUCAUGGAGUAAAUGGAUCUUGUCCUCAGACUUGAUGUCUACAGAAAGCUUGAAAAGCACAGAGGAUGUGUCAACACUGUAAGCUUCAAUGCAGAUGGUGCCAUUUUGGUAUCAGGCUCUGAUGACAAGCGGGUUAUACUCUGGAACUGGGAAAC